rnacentral:rRNA from 1 species
GACAGAGGGUGCAAACGUUGCUCGGAAUUACUGGGCGUAAAGCGCGUGUAGGUGGUCACGCAAGUCAGGUGUGAAAGCCCACGGCUCAACCGUGGAAGUGCCUUUGAUACUGCUAGUCUGGAGGGAGGUAGGGGCGUGCGGAACUUCCGGUGGAGCGGUGAAAUGCGUAGAUAUCGGAAGGAACACCGGUGGCGAAAGCGGCGCGCUGGACCUCUUCUGACGCUGAGGCGCGAAGGCGUGGGGAGCGAACGGG